rnacentral:tRNA from 1 species
AGAGACUUAGGAUAAUAAACAGACCGGGGGCCUUCAAAGCCCUAAGCGGGGGUUGGAAUCCCCCAGUUCCUG